GUUGUAUGGUUAAGUGACUAAGCGUACACGGUGGAUGCCUGGGCAGUCAGAGGCGAUGAAGGACGUACUAACUUGCGAUAAGCGCAGAUAAGGCAGUAAGAGCCGUUUGAGUCUGCGAUUUCCGAAUGGGGAAACCCAACUGCAUAAGCAGUUACUGUUAACUGAAUCCAUAGGUUAACAGAGCAAACCGGGGGAACUGAAACAUCUAAGUACCCCGAGGAGAAGAAAUCAACCGAGAUUCCGGUAGUAGCGGCGAGCGAACCUGGAUUAGCCCUUAAGCACUCGGUGAAGUAGGUGAACAAGCUGGAAAGCUUGGCGAUACAGGGUGAUAGCCCCGUAACCGACGCUUCAUCGAGCGUGAAAUCGAGUAGGGCGGGACACGUGAUAUCCUGUCUGAACAUGGGGGGACCAUCCUCCAAGGCUAAAUACUCCUGACUGACCGAUAGUGAACCAGUACCGUGAGGGAAAGGCGAAAAGAACCCCUGUGAGGGGAGUGAAAUAGAACCUGAAACCGUGUACGUACAAGCAGUAGGAGCACCUUCGUGGUGUGACUGCGUACCUUUUGUAUAAUGGGUCAGCGACUUAUAUUCAGUGGCAAGGUUAACCGUAUAGGGGAGCCGUAGCGAAAGCGAGUCUUAACUGGGCGCUCAGUCUCUGGAUAUAGACCCGAAACCGGGUGAUCUAGCCAUGGGCAGGUUGAAGGUUGAGUAACAUCAACUGGAGGACCGAACCGACUAAUGUUGAAAAAUUAGCGGAUGACUUGUGGCUAGGGGUGAAAGGCCAAUCAAACUCGGAGAUAGCUGGUUCUCCCCGAAAGCUAUUUAGGUAGCGCCUCGGACGAAUACUACUGGGGGUAGAGCACUGUUAAGGCUAGGGGGUCAUCCCGACUUACCAACCCUUUGCAAACUCCGAAUACCAGUAAGUACUAUCCGGGAGACACACGGCGGGUGCUAACGUCCGUCGUGGAGAGGGAAACAACCCAGACCGCCAGCUAAGGUCCCAAAGUAUUGCUAAGUGGGAAACGAUGUGGGAAGGCUCAGACAGCUAGGAUGUUGGCUUAGAAGCAGCCAUCAUUUAAAGAAAGCGUAAUAGCUCACUAGUCGAGUCGGCCUGCGCGGAAGAUGUAACGGGGCUAAGCAAUACACCGAAGCUGCGGCAAU
rnacentral:rRNA from 1 species